CUACGGGGGGCUGCAGUGAGGAAUAUUGCACAAUGGGGGGAACCCUGAUGCAGCAACGCCGCGUGGAGGAUGACGCAUUUCGGUGUGUAAACUCCUUUUAUAUGUCAAGAAAAUGACGGUAGCACAUGAAUAAGCACCGGCUAACUCCGUGCCAGCAGCCGCGGUAAUACGGAGGGUGCAAGCGUUACUCGGAAUCACUGGGCGUAAAGGACGCGUAGGCGGGCUUGUAAGUCAGGUGUGAAAUCCUACAGCUUAACUGUAGAACUGCACUUGAAACUACGAGCCUAGAGUAUGGGAGGGGGAGAUGGAAUUAGUGGUGUAGGGGUAAAUCCGUAGAUAUCACUAGGAAUACCUAAAGCGAAGGCGAUCUCCUGGAACAUAACUGACGCUAAGGCGUGAAAGCGUGGGGAGCAAACAGGAUUAGAUACUCCGGUAGUC
rnacentral:rRNA from 1 species